CUGGAGAUUGCUCUUUGUGGAGUUUCUUUUGAGCUUACAAGACUGGUAGGAUGAAAUCACUGGGAAACCCAAGUGUUGCUGUCCUUUGUGUUUCAGCUCUGAGCUGUCUCAGCAAUGGAAAUGAUCAAGCACUGAGAAAACAUGACCUAUUAAAGAGUGGAAGAUCCAUAUUUAUUUCAAGAAGAUGGAAGGAUUACAGUUGUCUCUAGUCUCAGCUU